AUGUCAUUCAUCUUCUCGAAGCAUCUGUACUCUCUCUCUUGCAACUGGUUGUUUCUUUCCUUUGUUUUGUAUUUCUUCUGUAUCGUGUUAGUCAACUGAUUGAAUCGGUUGAUCUGAACAUAGUUGUUCAUCUGAUCUUACUGUUGUAAGAUCUUGGUUAAUCGGUGGGUAUUUUCGGUUUGGGUUAAUAAUAAAUUUCAGUCAUCGUUUUUUGUCGCUAUUAUUUUGUCGUUGAUUUGUGUGUUUGGUACCACAAGUUUUUACAGAAACAACAAGAAAAUAAGCAAAAUACACAUUAAGUGCUUGUAUCAAACAUAUAUUCUAUAAUUAAAAGCUUUAGUCGAUAACUUAUAGCAUAGCUCUAACUAGUUUUACAAUACCAACUUAGACAAUGCUUAAAACUAGAGACGGUUCCAGUUCCGGUACCAAUGUGAAACCCAGAACCAUCCCGACAUAGGAACCGGUUUGUAUAGGCUUAUAAAAAUUGUUUCCAAGUGCCAAAAUUGCUGAACGCACUAACAAAACCCUUAAACUAGACAGUAUUAACUGAAGAUUAGCUACAAGAAAUGCUUAAUAGUUUUAAAAAGACGAUGGAAUCUUGCUUCAUAUAUGCUCCUCAUUUCAUAGUUCAUACUAGGGGAGAUCACUGCUGACAUUUGUAUACCACAAACUACAUUAACAUGUCUAAUCUCAGACGGCGAUUCAAAUCUACGCAUCACUAAUAAAUAUAAAGAAACUCAUUGUAUCACCAACAUCUCUAUUUCAGACCGGCGGCAGUGUAACCCGAGCAGGUAGUGGGGUACCCGCUCCCCUUCGGUAAGUGGCCCAGUUGGACUUUAUUGCUGCCAUUGCAGAUCCCAAAAUUUAUGCAUCAUUGAACAUGCAGCAUCAUUAUCUAUGACACCUGUAUAGCCCAAGAAUUUUAACAGAAUAAAACAUGAAAACAAAAAAAUAUUACAUAUUAAAUAAGGUAGCAUUUGAAAUGAUGUUAUAACUAUUUUACU
rnacentral:lncRNA from 1 species